rnacentral:tRNA from 1 species
GGCCUAUUGGUCAAGCGGUUAAGACACCGCCCUCUCACGGCGGAAUCCCGAGUUCGAUUCUCGGAUAGGUCAUCA